UGCCACUCUUAACGGGGUGGCUUUUCAGAAGUGAAAAAAGCUUCUGGAAUAAGGGCUGGGCAAGACCGGUGCCAGCCGCCGCGGUAACACCGGCAGCUCAAGUGGUAGCCGCUUUUAUUGGGCCUAAAGCGUCCGUAGCCGGUCUGAUAAGUCUCUGGUGAAAUCCCACAGCUUAACUGUGGGAAUUGCUGGAGAUACUAUCAUGACUCGAGGUCGGGAGAGGCUGGAGGUACUCCCAGGGUAGGGGUGAAAUCCUGUAAUCCUGGGAGGACCACCUGUGGCGAAGGCGUCCAGCUGGAACGAACCUGACGGUGAGGGACGAAAGCCAGGGGCGCGAACCGGAUUAGAUACCCGGGUAGUCCUGGCCGUAAACGAUGUGGACUUGGUGUUGAGAUGGCUUCGAGCUGCCCCAGUGCCGAAGGGAAGCUGUUAAGUCCACCGCCUGGGAAGUACGGCCGCA
rnacentral:rRNA from 1 species